rnacentral:rRNA from 1 species
GACAGAGGGUGCAAACGUUGUUCGGAAUUACUGGGCGUAAAGCGCGUGUAGGCGGCUUCGCAAGUCGGGUGUGAAAUCCCACGGCUCAACCGUGGAAGUGCAUUCGAAACUGCGAGGCUAGAGUCCUGGAGAGGAAGGUGGAAUGCUUGGUGUAGAGGUGAAAUUCGUAGAUAUCAAGCGGAACACCGGUGGCGAAGGCGGCCUUCUGGACAGUGACUGACGCUGAGACGCGAAAGCGUGGGGAGCGAACAGG